UACGUAGGGUGCAAGCGUUGUCCGGAAUUAUUGGGCGUAAAGAGCCUGUAGAGCGGUUUGUCGCGUCGGCUGUGAAAAACCUGAGGCUCAACCUCGGGCUUGCAGUGGGUACGGGCAGACUAGAGUGCGGUAGGGGUGACUGGAAUUCCUGGUGUAGCGGUGGAAUGCGCAGAUAUCAGGAGGAACACCGAUGGCGAAGGCAGGUCACUGGGCCGCAACUGACGCUGAGGAGCGAAAGCAUGGGGAGCGAACAGG
rnacentral:rRNA from 1 species